rnacentral:rRNA from 1 species
GACGAACGCUGGCGGCGUGCUUAACACAUGCAAGUCGAACGGAAAGGCCCUGCUUUUGUGGGGUGCUCGAGUGGCGAACGGGUGAGUAACACGUGCGUAACCUGCCCUUGACUUUGGGAUAACUUCAGGAAACUGGGGCUAAUACCGGAUAGGAGCUCCUGCUGCAUGGUGGGGGUUGGAAAGUUUCGGCGGUUGGGGAUGGACUCGCGGCUUAUCAGCUUGUUGGUGGGGUAGUGGCUUACCAAGGCUUUGACGGGUAGCCGGCCUGAGAGGGUGACCGGCCACAUUGGGACUGAGAUACGGCCCAGACUCCUACGGGAGGCAGCAGUGGGGAAUAUUGCACAAUGGGCGGAAGCCUGAUGCAGCAACGCCGCGUGCGGGAUGACGGCCUUCGGGUUGUAAACCGCUUUCGCCUGUGACGAAGCGUGAGUGACGGUAAUGGGUAAAGAAGCACCGGCUAACUACGUGCCAGCAGCCGCGGUGAUACGUAGGGUGCGAGCGUUGUCCGGAUUUAUUGGGCGUAAAGGGCUCGUAGGUGGUUGAUCGCGUCGGAAGUGUAAUCUUGGGGCUUAACCCUGAGCGUGCUUUCGAUACGGGUUGACUUGAGGAAGGUAGGGGAGAAUGGAAUUCCUGGUGGAGCGGUGGAAUGCGCAGAUAUCAGGAGGAACACCAGUGGCGAAGGCGGUUCUCUGGGCCUUUCCUGACGCUGAGGAGCGAAAGCGUGGGGAGCGAACAGGCUUAGAUACCCUGGUAGUCCACGCUGUAAACGGUGGGUACUAGGUGUGGGGUCCAUUCCACGGGUUCCGUGCCGUAGCUAACGCUUUAAGUACCCCGCCUGGGGAGUACGGCCGCAAGGCUAAAACUCAAAGGAAUUGACGGGGCCCCGCACAAGCGGCGGAGCAUGCGGAUUAAUUCGAUGCAACGCGUAGAACCUUACCUGGGUUUGACAUGGAUCGGGAGCGCUCAGAGAUGGGUGUGCCUCUUUUGGGGUCGGUUCACAGGUGGUGCAUGGCUGUCGUCAGCUCGUGUCGUGAGAUGUUGGGUUAAGUCCCGCAACGAGCGCAACCCUUGUUCACUGUUGCCAGCACGUUAUGGUGGGGACUCAGUGGAGACCGCCGGGGUCAACUCGGAGGAAGGUGGGGAUGACGUCAAGUCAUCAUGCCCCUUAUGUCCAGGGCUUCACGCAUGCUACAAUGGCUGGUACAGAGAGUGGCGAGCCUGUGAGGGUGAGCGAAUCUCGGAAAGCCGGUCUCAGUUCGGAUUGGGGUCUGCAACUCGACCUCAUGAAGUCGGAGUCGCUAGUAAUCGCAGAUCAGCAACGCUGCGGUGAAUACGUUCCCGGG